rnacentral:lncRNA from 1 species
GAUGUUGUAUGCUUCUUCAGAACAAAUAAUUUCCAAAUGUAGAGUUCAGUGAAAGGUUUAUCAUAGGGAUGUGAGGAAAUAGCACAUCUUCCUCUUACAAAUCAUGGGACAGCUGGAAACAAAAGUAUGUGUCACAGGAUAUUAGUGAUGGAAAAAAAAUUAUUAAGGGCUGGUUGACUUUGUAUAUCCAAAGUCUCUUUUGUGGAGAGUAGGAAUGUGAAAUACUGGAGCGUCUUGCAGAAAGGAGGCUUCCUCAAAAAGACAAGGCCGAGGAUGUUAUUACAGCCCGGGACCAUGACAGGAGGAGGAACAGAGCACCUAGACGUGGCAUGAGACCUGCUCAGUCUGAUUUGCAGCUUAGAAAAGACACUACUUUGAGCUCUAGAUCCUACUUUGAGAGCACAACUCAGGUGAAGAAAGCAUGAACGUGUCCACUCCUCAGCUGUUGAUGCUCCCUUCGUAACAAGUGGUGAGAAACAGCACAUGAUUCAUCUCGGCCUUAAGGUAAGGGUAGGAUUUGGGUCUAGACUGGAGGCUGAAUCCAGGAUUUAAGCCUGUUCAUUAAGUGUCUAGUGUGUCAGUGGACAUAGUCUUUGCUGUGAAGGGUAGUUGUGCCUUGUAAAGUGAACUGAAUCGUU